GACCUCUCAGGGGUUGUAUUUAGGGUGUUAGUAAUUCUCUGUAGUUAUUGUGAUGAUGUACAGCCUUUUAUACAGUCUGGUAUAAAACACAAAAAAUAACCCAAAUAUGAUUUCUUUUUUAAUGCAACAUCUCACAGUGGCUGAGUCCAAAACCUCAGUUAGCUGCCUAAUCAGUCUAAAACUUCAUAGGCAUAAUGAAACUGCUUUCAGACACAAGAUUAUUUAAUGCUUUUUUUCUUUUUCGAAUAAGUCUUAUGAUCACCAACACCAAGGCUACAUUUAUUUGAUAAAAUACAGC